UAAUACGGGGGGGGCAAGCGUUGUUCGGAAUUACUGGGCGUAAAGGGCGCGUAGGCGGCCUGCUAAGUCACACGUGAAAUCCCUCGGCUCAACCGGGGAACUGCGUGUGAUACUGGCGGGCUUGAAUUCGGGAGAGGGAUGUGGAAUUCCAGGUGUAGCGGUGAAAUGCGUAGAUAUCUGGAGGAACACCGGUGGCGAAGGCGGCAUCCUGGACCGAGAUUGACGCUGAGGCGCGAAAGCUAGGGGAGCAAACGG
rnacentral:rRNA from 1 species